AGACCCGAAACCCGGUGAUCUAGCCAUGGGCAGGUUGAAGGUUGGGUAACACUAACUGGAGGACCGAACCGACUAAUGUUGAAAAAUUAGCGGAUGACCUGUGGCUGGGGGUGAAAGGCCAAUCAAACCGGGAGAUAGCUGGUUCUCCCCGAAAGCUAUUUAGGUAGCGCCUCGUGAAUUCAUCUCCGGGGGUAGAGCACUGUUUCGGCUAGGGGGCCAUCCCGGCUUACCAACCCGAUGCAAACUGCGAAUACCGGAGAAUGUUAUCACGGGAGACACACGGCGGGUGCUAACGUCCGUCGUGAAGAGGGAAACAACCCAGACCGCCAGCUAAGGUCCCAAAGUCAUGGUUAAGUGGGAAACGAUGUGGGAAGGCCCAGACAGCCAGGAUGUUGGCUUAGAAGCAGCCAUCAUUUAAAGAAAGCGUAAUAGCUCACUGGUCGAGUCGGCCUGCGCGGAAGAUGUAACGGGGCUAAACCAUGCACCGAAGCUGCGGCAGCGACGCUUAUGCGUUGUUGGGUAGGGGAGCGUUCUGUAAGCCUGCGAAGGUGGCCUGUGAGGGUUGCUGGAGGUAUCAGAAGUGCGAAUGCUGACAUAAGUAACGAUAAAGCGGGUGAAAAGCCCGCUCGCCGGAAGACCAAGGGUUCCUGUCCAACGUUAAUCGGGGCAGGGUGAGUCGACCCCUAAGGCGAGGCCGAAAGGCGUAGUCGAUGGGAAACGGGUUAAUAUUCCCGUACUUGGUGUUACUGCGAAGGGGGGACGGAGAAGGCUAUGUUGGCCGGGCGACGGUUGUCCCGGUUUAAGCGUGUAGGUGUGUGUUCCAGGUAAAUCCGGUUCACUUUAACACUGAGGCGUGACGACGAGGCACUACGGUGCUGAAGCAACAAAUGCCCUGCUUCCAGGAAAAGCCUCUAAGCAUCAGGUAACAUCAAAUCGUACCCCAAACCGACACAGGUGGUCAGGUAGAGAAUACCAAGGCGCUUGAGAGAACUCGGGUGAAGGAACUAGGCAAAAUGGUGCCGUAACUUCGGGAGAAGGCACGCUGACACGUAGGUGAAGUGAUUUACUCACGGAGCUGAAGUCAGUCGAAGAUACCAGCUGGCUGCAACUGUUUAUUAAAAACACAGCACUGUGCAAACACGAAAGUGGACGUAUACGGUGUGACGCCUGCCCGGUGCCGGAAGGUUAAUUGAUGGGGUCAGCGCAAGCGAAGCUCCUGAUCGAAGCCCCGGUAAACGGCGGCCGUAACUAUAACGGUCCUAAGGUAGCGAAAUUCCUUGUCGGGUAAGUUCCGACCUGCACGAAUGGCGUAAUGAUGGCCAGGCUGUCUCCACCCGAGACUCAGUGAAAUUGAACUCGCUGUGAAGAUGCAGUGUACCCGCGGCAAGACGGAAAGACCCCGUGAACCUUUACUAUAGCUUGACACUGAACAUUGAGCCUUGAUGUGUAGGAUAGGUGGGAGGCUUUGAAGCGUGGACGCCAGUCUGCGUGGAGCCGACCUUGAAAUACCACCCUUUAAUGUUUGAUGUUCUAACGUGGACCCGUGAUCCGGGUUGCGGACAGUGUCUGGUGGGUAGUUUGACUGGGGCGGUCUCCUCCUAAAGAGUAACGGAGGAGCACGAAGGUUGGCUAAUCCUGGUCGGACAUCAGGAGGUUAGUGCAAUGGCAUAAGCCAGCUUGACUGCGAGCGUGACGGCGCGAGCAGGUGCGAAAGCAGGUCAUAGUGAUCCGGUGGUUCUGAAUGGAAGGGCCAUCGCUCAACGGAUAAAAGGUACUCCGGGGAUAACAGGCUGAUACCGCCCAAGAGUUCAUAUCGACGGCGGUGUUUGGCACCUCGAUGUCGGCUCAUCACAUCCUGGGGCUGAAGUAGGUCCCAAGGGUAUGGCUGUUCGCCAUUUAAAGUGGUACGCGAGCUGGGUUUAGAACGUCGUGAGACAGUUCGGUCCCUAUCUGCCGUGGGCGCUGGAGAACUGAGGGGGGCUGCUCCUAGUACGAGAGGACCGGAGUGGACGCAUCACUGGUGUUCGGGUUGUCAUGCCAAUGGCACUGCCCGGUAGCUAAAUGCGGAAGAGAUAAGUGCUGAAAGCAUCUAAGCACGAAACUUGCCCCGA
rnacentral:rRNA from 1 species